rnacentral:rRNA from 1 species
AUUGAACGCUGGCGGCAUGCCUUACACAUGCAAGUCGAACGGUAGCGCGGACUGCGGUCUGGCGGCGAGUGGCGAACGGGUGAGUAAUACAUCGGAACGUACCUUGUUGUGGGGGAUAACUAGCCGAAAGAUUAGCUAAUAACGCACGCGACAUGAGGGUGAACGUGGGGGACGGCAAGGCCUCACGCAGGAGGAGCGGGCGAUGUCUGAUUAGCUAGUUGGUGGGGUAAAGGCCCACCAAGGUGACGAUCAGUAGCUGGUCUGAGAGGAAGAUCAGCCACACUGGGACUGAGACACGGCCCAGACUCCUACGGGAGGCAGCAGUGGGGAAUUUUGGACAAUGGGGGCAACCCUGAUCCAGCAAUGCCGCGUGUGUGAAGAAGGCCUUCGGGUUGUAAAGCACUUUUGUCCGGAAAGAAAUCGCGCUGGUUAAUACCUGGCGUGGAUGACGGUACCGGAAGAAUAAGCACCGGCUAACUACGUGCCAGCCGCCGCAGUAA